rnacentral:rRNA from 1 species
UACGUAGGGGGCGAGCGUUGUCCGAAGUUACUGGGCGUAAAGCGCGCGUAGGCGGGGGUCCAAGUCCGCUGUGAAAGCCCGGAGCUUAACUCCGGUUGGUCGGUGGAUACUGGACGUUCUUGAAGGGACUAGAGGGAGAUGGAAUUACCGGUGUAGCGGUGAAAUGCGUAGAUAUCGGGAGGAACACCUGUGGCGAAAGCGGACUCACUGGACCACAACUGACGCUGAUGCGCGAAAGCUAGGGGAGCAAACAGGG